rnacentral:rRNA from 1 species
UACGUAGGGAGCAAGCGUUGUCCGGAAUCAUUGGGCGUAAAGCGCGCGUAGGUGGCCUCAUAAGUCCGCUGUGAAAGUCAAAGGCUCAACCUUUGAAAGCCGGUGGAUACUGUGAGGCUAGAGUAUGGAAGAGGCGAGUGGAAUUCCUGGUGUAGCGGUGGAAUGCGCAGAUAUCGGGAGGACAUCGAUGGCGAAGGCAGCCCCCUGGUCAAGAUUGACGCUCAUGGCACGA